UACGGGGGGGCAAGCGUUGUUCGGAAUUACUGGGCGUAAAGGGCUCGUAGGCGGCCAACUAAGUCAGACGUGAAAUCCCCAGGCUUAACCUGGGAACUGCAUUCGAGACUGCAUUGCUAGAGUAUGGGAGAGGGAAGUGGAAUUUCCGGUGUAGCGGUGAAAUGCGUAGAUAUCGUAAGGAAGACCAGUGGCGAAGGCGGGUCUCUGGACAGUUCCUGACGGUGAGGCACGAAGGUCAGGGGAGCAAACGGG
rnacentral:rRNA from 1 species